UGUGUAGCUGAAGUGAGCAAGUAAAUAUGUCUUAAUGUCCAGUGCAAGCAGAUACCUGUCUGAUAGUGAAGUUGCAACGUCAAAAGAAUCCUCCAAAUGCUCAGCAAUUGGUGGCACCAGGUACUUUUGGAAACAAGGAUGAAGUUGUGGCUAAAAACAGAAACUACUGAAGAAUGUGCUCCACCAAAACAGUGCUGUGAGUCAAGAAAGAGGAAGAGGUGGAAUUCAGGAACCAGAGCACUCAACACAGAGGUGAAGAGAGUCCCCAGGAUGUGGGUGAAGGGAAGUCCCAAGAUGACAGAUGUACAGCAGGCCUAGAGGUCAGUCAGCUCAGAAAGGAGCAGAUCGGUAGGUCUGGAAGAGCUCGCUUCCAGAUAAAAUUGAUGGAAUACCAAGUUUGUUCGGACAUAAUGAGAGGAGACUUAAACAGCUAGAGAGGAGUAUGGAUUAAAUUAGUGACAUAUGCACAGAAAAACUAGGCAGAUGAAAAAUGAGACCAUUAUUAACCCCAGAGAAAGCAAAACCGUUUUGAAGAAAGUGAUCAUAAUUUAUUACACAACACAGGUGUGAAUAGUAUUUAUUUGAUCAUAGUAAUAUAAACACUGAGUGUCAGUUUAAUAAUGACAUAGAAAUAUAAGCCCAUGCAGUAUAGGAAGAGGCGAAAACUGAAUCCCCAUCUUCCACAGUGGAAAGUCAAUAGAGAAAACUAAGAAGUAGCUAUUUAGAGAUACAAUGAUUUCUCUCCUCCCCCUAAAAAAAGAUUUAGUGAAAGCAUUGAAAGUGAUUUCCUCUGAGGAGUGGGAAAUGAAGGGGUGGAGUGGGGGAAUGCUAUUUCUUGUAAUUAGUAAUUUAGAAGUAUUUGAUUCUUUAAACUAUGUGCAUAUUUAACUUUGAUGUUUAAAAAAACUAAAUAAAACUCAGUAAUCAUUUUUCCUUUGCUGUAUGAAAAAGGGAGGAGGUGAGAUGGAAAAUGCGCAUCAUUCCUAGCUGAUAAGGAAACUGGGCAGGCAAAAUGAAACUUGCUUGUUCCAUGAGUCCAUCAGCCCAGCAGGGUCAAUGUCUUUUCAAUCUUCUUGAGGCAGAAGAAAAGCUAUGAGCAACUGGGAAAUUAAAACUUAAAUUCCUUUGAAAGAGCCAUUAAUGCCAAACUGACCUGAAAUCUGGGGCUACCCUAAGAGGGUUUUGGCCCAAAUAAAUAGUCCAGGAUAAGUACAAAGAAAGGGUUCUUUCAAAUGCAAAAAUGAAACCAGGAUUAUAUUAAGGGAGCUAGUAACAGCAAUUGAGUGUAAGCAGAAUGCAUUCUUAAUUAUGUCUAAUAUGAAUUUCUUUAAAUUCUUUAAAUGCCAGUUGUUU